rnacentral:ncRNA from 2 species
GUCUAUCUUCGGGGCAGGGUGAAAUUCCCGAUCGGCGGUAAUGAGAUUUUUUCUCUAAGCCCGCGAGCCUGUAAGGGCAGGAUUUGGUGCGAUUCCAAAGCCGACAGUAUAGUCUGGAUGGGAGAAGAUGGAG